GAACGACGCCACCGGGCAUCGCCCCUUAACCUUUUUCCCUUACAUUUGCUCUUGGAAUAGUUAGAUACUUUCUUUAUUGAGGAUAUCCAGGCCAAUAGCUUUAAUUCUAAUCACCAACCUCAUGCUGACUCAACCAGAAUAGGAAGUUAGGAACUUAUCCGAAACUGUUCUAAGAACCAAUCGAGGUCCACCAAUGUCGUUAAGAAACUGCAAUGAAGGUGGCGGCGGUGGUGGUGGUGGAAGAAGCAGUGGUGGAGGCCCCACAUUGUUGCUAGCAUGAUUCUGGUAAUUUGGCCACACGACAGCCUGCUGCAUUUGUUCUGAUAAAAAGAAAAAUAUAAUAAAUUAAUUUACGAGGGAUUAAUCUCCUUAGAAAACAAGAGCAUGUGAGCGUCCCCAUGAAAAAGACCUUAUGGCUGGUUCUACUUUAGCAAAGGACGUUGAAUGCAGAUUUGAUUCAAAACACGAAUAGGCCCUAAUCAUCUACAUUUUGAGUUUGAGUCCUGGUUCCAACACCCUCUAAAAAUUUGUUUAUACAAACAAGAGUAAUAAUAUAAAGAGGGUAUUCUCAAUCAUAUUUUCCCUAUUUCUUUGGGAGAAAACCGCACGCGGCUGAAGGCUCUCAAGCGCUAGACUCUCUAGAGUGAACAAAAGACAAAGGAAAAAGUAUGCAAGAAAGAGAGAUAGUUAUAGGGGGACUUUUAAACAAGAGGGUGAACAGUGAACACAUAAGAUCGAGUUAUACGGCAGCCAUAAAUGAGAUAAUAAAUGGGGGCUUGUACAAAAAUAACGAGAUUACGAGCUCUGAAAAAAGAAGAUGCCAGUUCUGGCCCACGUCGAACCAUAGUGAUUUGGCGCUAUACGUAUCUAAAAGAUUCCCCAUCGCUUUUAUGAUUCUAAAAAGUGAAGCCCCUGUUCGCCGGCUUGAAUCGCAAAAGCACGCUUUCAAAAAAUUCUCUAAAUAGUUUCGGCCUAGAAAAUAUUCAUCGGUAUCCGGUUGGCUUAGUGAGGUGCAAUCUCAUAUCAAGUUUUAUUAAUAGAAUUUUAAAAAAUGUAUGCAAAAUCUGAUGAAUAACAUUCUUAAAAUAUACUUACCAGCAGAAUGUAUGAGGAGAAGAUGCCCUGUUGUUGGAUCCCUAACUAAUUGUAAACCGACUCCUAC